GACGAACGCUGGCGGCGUGCCUAAUACAUGCAAGUAGAACGCUGAAGGAGGAGCUUGCUUCUCUGGAUGAGUUGCGAACGGGUGAGUAACGCGUAGGUAACCUGCCUGGUAGCGGGGGAUAACUAUUGGAAACGAUAGCUAAUACCGCAUAAUAGUAGAUGUUGCAUGACAUUUGCUUAAAAGGUGCAAUUGCAUCACUACCAGAUGGACCUGCGUUGUAUUAGCUAGUUGAUGAGGUAACGGCUCACCAAGGCGACGAUACAUAGCCGACCUGAGAGGGUGAUCGGCCACACUGGGACUGAGACACGGCCCAGACUCCUACGGGAGGCAGCAGUAGGGAAUCUUCGGCAAUGGACGGAAGUCUGACCGAGCAACGCCGCGUGAGUGAAGAAGGUUUUCGGAUCGUAAAGCUCUGUUGUAAGAGAAGAACGAGUGUGAGAGUGGAAAGUUCACACUGUGACGGUAUCUUACCAGAAAGGGACGGCUAACUACGUG
rnacentral:rRNA from 1 species